CAAAGAAUGAAUAGGCCACCAAAAGAAGGUCGAGAGAGAGAGAGAAUUAAGAUUCUAACUUCUCUCAAAUCUUUAACAAUUUCCUUUUCCCAUUUUAUCUACUUGUAAAGUCUCGAAAUUGCUCUGGGAUUAGAUUACGAGUUCAGCCCGUAGCCUUGGCAGAAUCAACACCAGCCCAUGGGGUCUCUUAAAGAUAUAUCGUUCCAGUCCUAUGUUUUACAGGAGGCAAACUGGCCCCAAAGAGGUUUGUGCAAUUCAGUGACAAUGAAAAUAAGCAACUCUGUGGUCUGGGAGUAGAGGAGGCAGUCUUCGCAUAUGAAGCUAAUAUCCUACAGCCACCUUAGCAGCCCAUUUAACACACCAGAUGUGUACUUGGUGGUCUCUGGACAAAGAGUUUUAACAAAUCAAGAUCCUAUCAAGAUUUGUCAGAGACUCCUGCUGCUGUAGAGCCAGACCCUUACUAAUAGCCACACCUGAGAGCCCUAAGGCUCCACCUCCUCAAAGCCAC
rnacentral:lncRNA from 1 species